rnacentral:lncRNA from 1 species
ACAACACACCAAAUGGUCAUUAAUUCGGCAUAGAGAAAAUACCGGAUCGGAUUGCUUUAUCUUCAAGUUUGUGGAAUUGGAAUACAUAAAUGCCAUUAGGUAGUGCAUUGCCUGCUAGUACGCAAAGUGACAAGAUGUAUUUAAGUGCGAUGAUUUCAGGAAUUAUCCUCCCUACGUUAGAUUUUUCUUGCGAAUGAUAAUUUUUCUUUUCGGGCGCCCAAUGGCGGCUUGCGUUCACUUCAUGAAUGAACAGUAAUUAAAUAGUCGUAAAACAACCGUGAUUCGUGUUUGGUGUAUGUCAGAAUUUAGGUUUAAUGGUUUCAAUAAACAUGACACUGUCAAGUAUAGUAAUUCAUUUGUUAGUUGUUGUAUUGUCUGGACUACCUCAUGGCCAGAGUGGACCGGAGAGUCAUCAGAAUCGUUUGGGCAGUGAGAGGACAGACCUGCUUCAGGAUCAAGAGAGAUCUUUAUUACUAGUCUCAACAUUAGAUGGAUCUUUCAUUGGAGUUGACCAACGAACCGGGGAUGUUCGCUGGAAAGUUAAAGAUGAGCCAACUAUUAGAAUGCCUACAAAUUCUGACAACUCUAUCAUGCCGAUGUUUUUGCCAGACCCAAAAGAUGGAUCUUUGUACAUUAUCAACAAAGAAAAUGCUUUAAAAAGUUGCCUUUUACAAUUCAGCAACUAGUAGCAUCAUCUCCUUGCCAAAGCACCGAUGGAAUAUUUUAUACAGGUAGGUUUAACAGUCUUAGAAAACGACGACUUAUCAGUGCCCUGUAGAUCAUGCUACUUGAGGGAAACUGCUUUUCCUUUGCCCUGCUAGAUGAAGAACAGCGCCCAAAACGUACAAUGCAGGGCGAUGAAAUAAAAUUUUUGUGGGCAAUGAAAUAAAGUAUCUUAAUAUCCCGGAAAAUUUUGUUUUGAUUUGCGCAUGUGAAAAAAUUUGAAUUAUAUUCCCAUUCAAUCUAUUUUUCUGCUCUAUGCUAGUUUCAACCUGCUUUGGUACGCCAUCAAAACUAUCAGAAAAUUCUCAAUGACUUUUCCUGUUAUCUCAUUAUCUCAAUUCAAUUGAGGAAUCUGAAAGACUCUCAAGACACUCUAUAUGGAAUUAAUUUCCAUUUAGCAGUCUGAUUCGUUAAUUUAUGAAUAAACAAAAAUUGCAAGCAUAAUUGAGAUGGUAUGAAAUAACUCUCCAUUGAAUGCAUCCAGUUCUCCAAUAAAACUAAGAUCUAAAAUUAGCAAUGAUCCAAUAAUUUAGAAUACUCUCAGUUCAGCACCUCUAAUUUUUUACUUGUAUUAUUGAUGUGAAGUCAAUGAGCACAUCCAGAAAUACACUGUGAUCUUAUGCCGUCCAGAAUUGGUGGAGGGGAACUUAAAUGGACUUAAUGGCUACUAAACUGAUGGUUGUGACGCACAGAUCGCAUGAUGGAUAUAUAUCUUUGAUUGCUUGGUUUUACUAAUGUCAUUUUAUUUAUAACUGCCUCUUGAGCUGUUUCAAUGUGUAUCUUAAUGGCAGUCUGAAUGUUUAUCAUUACAAUUAUUUUACCGUAAAACUCAUGUAGGGUUAAAAGGGUCAGGAGAAACCUUGAAAGUCAAGGAAUUUGAAAACAACUUGGAAAAUCAGAGAUUAGUCAGGGAAUUUUGCUCUUAGUCCAGGAAAUUCUCAUUUUUCCUGCCUUUUCUUCUAAUUUUUCUCAUUCAGGCAUUAAAUAAUUUACAAUAUUUCCAGGAAGCAAGUAAAUUGUCGUAUUCAGGUUAUUUGCAAGUGCUUCAAAGUUUGCGUUGCUGUUUUUAAAUUAACAUUUUCUCUCUUUUUUUCUUCUUUUUUUUGUGAGAAGUCCUUUAGGGAAAAAUGAGGAUGCCAAAGAAGAGAAGUUCAUGAACAUGCUCCAAUGAUAGAUUAAGUAGGUAAAUGUUUCUCUUUCAAGGAAGGGGGCCAUGGCUCAGAAAUGGCUGUAAAAUGGAGCAAACUACAAUUACUUGCACUCUAUUUAGUUCUUCUUUGUUUUUCAGGAAAAAAAAAUGGAUAGUUGGUUCUCAAUGAAUUGGCAGACUGGAGAGAAAGAACCCAUUUUCAGUUUUGAUCAGCCAGACAUAACUUGUCCUGCUACACUCUCGCCUGAUGAAAUGUUCAUCGGGAAAGCAGGUAUUACUUUUAAAAUUUUACUCUUGUUAAAGUAGUGUUGAUCAACAACUCUAUUCGGAAUUUAAGAUUUAACACUUUAUUCAAUAAAUGACUGUACU